ACAUUCGAUGCUGCCAUGUUGUCUGCCAUCACCGAGAUGGUAAAGUGAAUGAAAAUAAGGGAAUAAGGCUGUGCACAAGGUAAAAGAAACAUUGUCAAUGGAGUGUUUACUUUUGGAAAAUCCACGGCUAAACAGAGGACGAAUAUAAGUGAAUGAAUCGAGUCUCAACACCCAUGGCCACUGCAUGCACCAUCUGCAUGAUCAUGAGCACGUUUUUGAAAAAGUGUCUGCCCUGGUGACUGGGUUACACAGACCUAAAGAAAACCAUGCAAAAAAAAACCCCCACUGAUUUUAUGAUCAAAUGAUGCAACCAAAAAAGAGUGAAGACAGAAUUUGUGUAAGACUUACGUAGAAAAGCAUAUAAACAACAGUGCUGAAGUCUGACCAUUCCAUUGUGGGCAUUAUUGUGAUAUUCGGCUAUUUGUGUGAUAUUGUUUAUGUUUGAAAUUAAAUCGGAGAGCACGUACAGGAGACCGUCAUAAAAAAGACAUCGAGAAUGCCUUAAAGAAUCCGUGAUUAAUUGUAACAUGACCAGUGACCGUACAGGGCUUAAUUGUGAACUACCGGUAAAAGUAUCGACCUAAUUUCCGAAAAAUAUGGUAUAUGGUUUGAACUUCGCUCAUUGUGAACUUUUGACAAGUCCAUCUGUGCAUGCAUGUUGUGAUCAAACUGCAUUCAAGUUUAUCGAUCUGCAGCAACAAAUCAUCACCUAUCGGUUGAGUACCAUUUGUCAAAUUUCAAUAUGGUUUGUUCAUCAGUUUUGUGUUUAUUUUUGAAAUUUAUAAAAUGUGUAAAAUUUUAAGUUAAUUACUUGUGUCCUUUAUCUCUAAUUUUGCUGCAACUGUUUAAUUUAAACAACAUCUUUGUCAAUCACCAGUAGAAGUUAUUUGCUAAUUGAUUGAAAAGCAUAGUACAUGUAUUAGUAACUCAUUAUUAAAUGAUUAUUAGUGUUU
rnacentral:sRNA from 1 species